rnacentral:SRP_RNA from 1 species
GCCGUGGCGUGCGCCUCUAACCCAGCUGCUUGGAGGAGCCGUGGGUUGCGGGAUCUCUUGAGGACGGGAGAGUCCUGCGCUGUGAGGCUCUCUAUGCCGACCGGGCGUCCGCACCAAGUUCGGUAUCAAUAUGGUGAGCGAUGGGGAGCCCCCGCUCACCAGGUUGUUGUUGUGCUAAGGAGGGACGAACCGGCCCAAGCCGUAUACGGAGCAAGCCAAAGACCCCGAGCCGAUCAGCGGUGGGACAGCGCCUGUGUCGAGACCUCCCAGGGCACCCGCCCAACACAGCGAGACCCAAAUCCUUU